ACAAUCACUAACACCAGCUGUAUAGAACACAGCAAUCUUUUACUGCCAGUGACAAAAAGGGAACACCGAAAGACGGAUUUAAGGAAACCAGUGUGAUAGCAGAAGUGGCUGAAGAGAUAUCACAAAACGGUGUUGCAGAAGUUGCCAGCGCAUGGUGAAUCUUAUGCUGAGUGCAGCAGCAAGCUGCUUACUUUAUCUUGGGUGGUUUUUUUUGUCCGUUUUCACCACCUAAUUUGCUCACUCUUUCUUAGGAGUUUGGUUUUCUUUUGGUAGUUGGGUUUUGAAGAUGUAGAAGAUAUAUAAGUAAAAAUGAUUUUGAAGGCUAUAUAUAUAUAUAUAUAUAUUCUUAUAAAUUCAAUGCAAA